CUCCGAAUGAUUCAUAAAUAAAUAAAUAAAUAAAUAUAUAUAUAUAUAUAUAUAUAAAAGAACUAAACCAGAACAAUCUGGCCACACAGUUCAUCCAUCUUAUUAUAUAUUAGGGAACUUUCUUGCAAUUUGGUGCUCUUUGUAUGAGAACAAACACCCCCCAUUCCCUACAGAUCUGUAUGUUCAUGAUAACUCACGAUGAUCAUCAACCAUGUCCGUUCAGAAAGACCCCUCCACUCAUACCAAUUGGCAACUAGGAAGUUCUUUGAUUUUGAUUUUCGAAGAGUACUUAUAUAUAGAAGAGUGUGGGACAGAUUAGUUGCACACACACAAAAAAAAAAUAAAUUCAUACCCAAAAAAACAUCGCCGUUUUUCUUCAGAUAUGUCCAUCAAUGUGAGGAUCUAUACGGUUUUAGUUGUUAAUUAUAUAAACGAGAAAUUUCUGUGAUUUGUCAUAUUGUAAACAGAAAUGAAAACUUAUCCAUGAUUUUAUGGAUCUACAAAAAAAAAAGUUGAAGUAAACAGUUUUUGACAGCGUUAUAUAUAU
rnacentral:lncRNA from 1 species